GCCAUGGCAGCAAGGUGAAGACGGAUGGAGCGCGAUGGAGAGCCGGGUGAGCGAUGAGCUCAUUAGGGAGGUCAGGUGGGGACAGCCCGGAGUUUUGAGAGGUGGAUGAACACUGGUCUGGCUGUGACAGGUGCUCCAUCUGGGGCUGCUGGGGAAGGGGCAAGGCUGCCCUCCCCAAGGGACCAUCUCAUCGUGACCCCCCCACGUGCUAACUUCUCUGAGCCCAGUUUCCUGAUGAGGCAUGGGGGCCACAGGACACAGGCCUGGAAGCAGUGAGAAGCAGUUUCAAGAGGGAGUGCAUCCAGGUGCAGAGAUCUGGGACCGAGAUCUCUUUCUUUGCCUCCCCCACUUCACCUGGGUACCCCUGUGAUGGUUACUAUUGAGUGUCAACUUGACUGGAUUGAAGGAUGCAAAGUAUUGUUCCUGGGUGUGUCUGUGAGGGU
rnacentral:lncRNA from 1 species